rnacentral:lncRNA from 1 species
AGCCAUACUUCUGCCUAUAAUCCCCAUAUAGACCACUUAGCUUUCUUUUUUCUGUACUGACUGCUUGCACUCCCAAAUCUCGCAAAUCUAGGGCCUUGAUCACCAGGCUGCCGUUGAGAGGCUCUUGGUGGGUAAGUUUAUCUGUCUACCCAAUGGUGACUCUUUGUUUGAAUAGGAAUAGUGCAUUUCUUCGGAAAUAAUUUCAGUGUUCCUCUAAACCUCUGCCAAGUGUACUGAAAUUGUCGCCCUAACUGAAAUGCAAAAUGCACAAUAUUCUAUGCCUACAACCCCGAGUCAGUAAUUGCACACAUAACCUUGAAAGUGCAUUGAUUGCAAAGGCCUUUAUUGUUCGUGGAACCCUGCCACCUGGGGAGGGGACUUUGAACUUUAAGAGCACAGGAACUGUUUGGUCCCUGGAGUACCUUGUUUCGAAAUCUGGCUGAACCUCUUUGUUAGCUAUGAAAACUUGGGCAAGUCUUCACUUUUUUAAUGCUUCAUAUUCAUCAUCUAGAAUAUGAGAUAAGCAGUCAGUAAGUGUUAAGUACAAAACAAGAAAAUCCGUGUAAAAGCCCUCAGCAGUAUCUUGUAAAUAACAAAUACUCAAAUAAGUGUUAAUGCUUAUAAACACAUUAACUUCCAUCUUAGGGAAGGGAAAAUGAGGAUGUAGUAGGUGAAAUAAUUUAUCAAAUGAUUUGCCAGGUCUGGGUUCAUGAAAUAUUGAAAUAGAUUCUGCGCAAAAGUUAACUUUCUGCUUAUGGAGAGGUAGUUGAGAUCAUUGGUUAAACAACACAUUUAAUGUAUGAGGAAGAAAUGGAAAAGAAGAGCCAGAAUGAUUACAUUUUCAUUUUUAUUUUAAAAUUUUUGGCAAGAAUCACCUCACCAACCAGUCUGCAUGGUUUUCUUUGGCAGCAGAACACAGUUAAAGGUUCCUUGGUUCACAACAGAUCAUUGACCAAUUAGAUGAUCAUGAUGUUUGAUGUCCUGCUGAUUUUAUCACCUGAUUGUCUCAGCCGGUUUCUGGUGUUGGGAAAGAGCAGACAAACUAUCAUUGAUUUAUCUAUCUACUGUGUGGGUAAGGCUCUUCUUUGCAUUAUCAUGCUUUAUCCAUUUGACUCUGCAGAGGUAUGCAGACCUGCAUGGUGAUGUCAGACUCCAGAGUCUGUGUUCUCCACUUCCUCUCAUUACUUCCAGGGGUCCUGACACUAAAGAAUCCUGGGAUGGACUAGGAGUCUGGGUUUGCAGAUACAGGCUAUUACAUUUGGGGUGGAUGAGCAAUGAGUUCCUAAUGUAUGGCACAGAGAACUAUAUCUAAUCUCCUAGAAUAGAACCUGAUGAAAGAUAAUAUGGGGAAAAGAAUGUAUGCAUAAGUGUGACUGGGUCAUUUUGCUGUACCGCAGAAAUUGGCACAACAUUGUAAGUCAACUAUAUUUUAAUAAAAAUAAUAUGUGCAAAAAAAAAAAAAAAAAA